GCGCGCUGGUUGAGCGGCCGCAGCAACGUGGUUUCCUUCGCCGCGUUGCGGAUGAAACGCACUAGCGGCGAGUUCAGGUCCGACAGCGAGCGC
rnacentral:tRNA from 1 species